ACACGACUACAUUAGAUACCCGUGUAGUCCUAGCCGUAAACGAUACUCGCUAGGUGUCGGCCACGGUGCGACCGUUGUCGGUGCCGUAGGGAAGCCGUGAAGCGAGCCACCUGGGAAGUACGGCCGCAAGGCUGAAACUUAAAGGAAUUGGCGGGGGAGCACCACAGCGGGUGGAGCUUGCGGUUUAAUUGGAUUCAACGCCGGAAAUCUUACCGGGACCGACAGCAACAUGAAGGCCAGGCUGAAGACUUUGCCGGAUUAGCUG
rnacentral:rRNA from 1 species